CGUAUGUCGCAAGCGUUAUCCGGAAUUAUUGGGCAUAAAGGGCAUCUAGGCGGCCCUGUAAGUCUAGGGUGAAAACCUGCGGCUCAACCGCAGGCCUGCCCCCGGAAACUACAGGGCUAGAGUAUCGGAGAGGUGGACGGAACUGCACGAGUAGAGGUGAAAUUCGUAGAUAUGUGCAGGAAUGCCGAUGAUGAAGAUAGUUCACUGGACGGUAACUGACGCUGAAGUGCGAAAGCUAGGGGAGGCAACAGGAUU
rnacentral:rRNA from 1 species